rnacentral:rRNA from 1 species
GCGGCAGGCCUAAUACAUGCAAGUCGAGGGGUAACAGGAAGUGCUUGCACUUCGCUGACGACCGGCGCACGGGUGAGUAUCGCGUAUACAAUCUGCCUCAUACUAGGGAAUAGCCCGAAGAAAUUUGGAUUAAUGCCCUAUAGCAUCUUUCUAAGGCAUCUUAUUAAGAUUAAAGGUUACGGUAUGAGAUGAGUAUGCGUUCUAUUAGCUAGUAGGUGUGGUAACGGCACACCUAGGCUACGAUAGAUAGGGGCCCUGAGAGGGGGAUCCCCCACACUGGUACUGAGACACGGACCAGACUCCUACGGGAGGCAGCAGUAAGGAAUAUUGGUCAAUGGACGAAAGUCUGAACCAGCCAUGCCGCGUGCAGGAUGACUGCCCUAUGGGUUGUAAACUGCUUUUAUAUAGGAAGAAAAACUUUCUCGUGAGAAAGCUUGACGGUACUAUAAGAAUAAGGAUCGGCUAACUCCGUGCCAGCAGCCGCGGUAAUACGGAGGAUCCAAGCGUUAUCCGGAAUCAUUGGGUUUAAAGGGUCCGUAGGUGGACAAAUAAGUCAGAGGUGAAAUCCUGCAGCUCAACUGUAGAACUGCCUUUGAUACUGUUUGUCUUGAGUUAUUAUGAAGUGGUUAGAAUGUGUAGUGUAGCGGUGAAAUGCAUAGAUAUUACACAGAAUACCGAUUGCGAAGGCAGAUCACUAAUAAUCAACUGACACUGAUGGACGAAAGCGUGGGUAGCGAACAGGAUUAGAUACCCUGGUAGUCCACGCCGUAAACGAUGGUCACUAGCUGUUUGGACUUCGGUCUGAGUGGCUAAGCGAAAGUGAUAAGUGACCCACCUGGGGAGUACGUU